UACGUAGGGUGCGAGCGUUGUCCGGAAUUAUUGGGCGUAAAGAGCUUGUAGGCGGUUUGUCGCGUCUGCUGUGAAAAUCCGGGGCUCAACCCCGGACUUGCAGUGGGUACGGGCAGACUAGAGUGUGGUAGGGGAGACUGGAAUUCCUGGUGUAGCGGUGGAAUGCGCAGAUAUCAGGAGGAACACCGAUGGCGAAGGCAGGUCUCUGGGCCUUACCUGACGCUGAGGAGCGAAAGCGUGGGGAGCGAACAGG
rnacentral:rRNA from 1 species